rnacentral:rRNA from 1 species
CAAUAGCGUAUAUUUAAGUUGCUGCAGUUAAAAAGCUCGUAGUUGGAUUUCGGGUGGGAAUGGCCGGUCCGCCGUUUCGGUGUGCACUUGCUACGCCCACCUUGCUGCCGGGGACGUGCUCUUGAGUUCACGCUCGGGACACGGAGUCGGCGAGGUUACUUUGAGUAAAUUAGAGUGUUCAAAGCAGGCCUACGCUCUGAAUACAUUAGCAUGGAAUAACACGAUAGGACUCUGGCCUAUCUUGUUGGUCUGUAGGACAGGAGUAAUGAUUAAGAGGGACAGUCGGGGGCAUUCGUAUUUCAUUGUCAGAGGUGAAAUUCUUGGAUUUAUGAAAGACGAACUACUGCGAAAGCAUUUGCCAAGGAUGUUUUCAUUAA